rnacentral:rRNA from 1 species
UACGAGGGGUGCAAGCGUUGCUCGGAAUUACUGGGCAUAAAGGGUGCGUAGGUGGCUUGUUAAGUCAGGGGUGAAAGUUUUCGGCCCAACCGGAAAAUGGCCUUUGAUACUGGCGAGCUCGAGUGCGUGAGGGGUAACCGGAACGAGCAGUGUAGCGGUGAAAUGCGUAGAUAUUGCUCGGAAGGCCAACGGCGAAGGCAGGUUACUGGUGCGCAACUGACACUGAGGCACGAAAGCGUGGGGAGCAAACAGG